UACGUAGGGUGCAAGCGUUGUCCGGAAUUAUUGGGCGUAAAGAGCUCGUAGGCGGUUCGUCGCGUCGGCUGUGAAAACCUGAGGCUCAACCUCAGGCCUGCAGUCGAUACGGGCAGACUGGAGUACUGCAGGGGAGACUGGAAUUCCUGGUGUAGCGGUGGAAUGCGCAGAUAUCAGGAGGAACACCGGUGGCGAAGGCGGGUCUCUGGGCAGUAACUGACGCUGAGGAGCGAAAGCGUGGGGAGCGAACAGG
rnacentral:rRNA from 1 species